rnacentral:rRNA from 1 species
UCCAGACUCCUACGGGAGGCAGCAGUGGGGAAUAUUGCACAAUGGGGGAAACCCUGACGCAGCAACGCCGCGUGAGUGAAGAAGGCCUUCGGGUUGUAAAGCUCUUUAAUCAGGGACGAAGAAUGACGGUACCUGAAGAAUAAGCUCCGGCUAACUACGUGCCAGCAGCCGCGGUAAUACGUAGGGAGCAAGCGUUAUCCGGAUUUACUGGGUGUAAAGGGCGCGUAGGCGGGAUGGCAAGUCAGAUGUGAAAUCCAAGGGCUCAACCCUUGAACUGCAUUUGAAACUGUCGUUCUUGAGUACUGGAGAGGUUGACGGAAUUCCUAGUGUAGCGGUGAAAUGCGUAGAUAUUAGGAGGAACACCAGUGGCGAAGGCGGUCAACUGGACAGCAACUGACGCUGAGGCGCGAAAGCGUGGGGAGCAAACAGGAUUAGAUACCCUCGUAA